GAAGUAUUGCAGGAGAGGUGAAGCGGACGAAGUCGAGGUCGAACGAGGGGAGGUAAGAGAGAGAAAAACCAGUAGAUGACCCAAAGGUGCGACUACGAAAUUCACACGCGCUCACUCUCUCACGCACACUCUCUCUCUCUCUCUCUCUCUCUCACGCACACUCUCUCUCUGGAUUUCUGGGCCGUUGGUGAAUUUGGUGGUUCAAGCCCGUCCUCCCCAGACAGUCGGAGUUUCGAUCGCUCUGCUGACUUUUCCUACACUGCCAAAGAAAAUGGUCCAUAUUUUCCAGGAUCGUGGCUGGUUUUGAUUCUCUUGAAGUGUAAUUGAAAUGGAAGGGGAUAUAUUUCCUGGAAUUGGUAAUGGAACCCAAGUUGAUGGCAAGGUUUUACAGACAUUUCAGAAGAACUUUACACAAGUUCAAAACAUUUUGGAUCAGAACAGAGUGCUAAUCCGUGAAAUAAAGCAUAACCAUGACUCUAAGAUGCCGGAUAACUUGAGCAGAAAUGUUGGUCUAAUUAGAGAGCUCAACAACAACAUCAGAAGGGUGGUGGAUCUCUAUGCUGACCUUUCGAGCUCUUUUGCAAGAUCGAUGGAAGCUUCGUCCGAAGGCGAAUUGGGGGGAAAACACAGUCAAAAGAGAGUUAGAUCCGGGGUUAAAUUGUGUUUGGUUCAUAGAACUUUUGGAACCUAUUCGGAAUCCAUCUUUGAGAGGCAAGAUCCUGAAAGAAGUAGGACAAAUGGGUAUAAGUCUUAGAGGGAGAUAGAGAAGGGGUGACAGAGAUGGAUUUUAGGGCUGAGAUGUGUUUGCAGUGCUAUGGAGGAGGAAAUAUUCGGGACUUGCAAUGGAGGAGGAAAUAUUUGGGACUUGCAAUCAUGAUGAAGGUAAGAAAGUGCCUUAGCUACAUCAAUGACAACUCUGUAACUUAAGUUCCAUGACAAGCAACAUCCUUGGCAGUUUCGCCUUUCUCUUUGUUGGAAAAUUCAACAAUCUAAUGAUCCAUUUGGGAUAAACUCGAAAACAAGGAAGGAACUGAGAAAGAUUUAAUCAUUUGCAAUGUAAUGAUUGUUGGUUAUGCUCACCAUGGACAAGAAAAACAAGCUAUCCUACUGUUUGAAGAAAUGUUGGGGAGAGGCAUUAAACCUGAUGCCGUCACCUUUCUUGCACUUCUGUCCACUUGCCGUCACUGUGGUUUAGUAGAAGUUGGUAGUAGAAGUUGGUGAGAAGUAUUUCUAUUCCAUGAUAGAAAAUUAUGCCAUAUCGCCUGAAAUUGAUCAUUAUUCAUGUAUGAUUGAUUUAUAUGGGAAGGCUAAUCGAAUUCAACAAGCGGCUACAUCUAUGAAAAGGAUUCCUGUGCGACAAGAUGCUGUAAUUUGGGGGGCUUUUUUAAAUGCUUCCAAGAUAAAUUGAAAUGUGGAGUUUGCAAGAGAAGCGGAGGAGAAACUGUUGCAAAUUGAAAGUGAUAAUGGUGCUCCAUAUGUGCAGUUAAACCUAGGUCAUCUUAUCAUGUGACAACAUUCAAAUGCAGUUUCACAUGGGCAUGACUCUAAUGGAUCAUAUCUUUCUAAGAUACCCUUUCAACAGGUUCAAGACUCUUAUGAGUUAUCUGCAGAGUAUGAAAGAAAGCUUGAUCCACAAAAGUUAGAGAAGCUUGGAAGUAUGUUAACAAGUUUGGAU